rnacentral:lncRNA from 1 species
AUGAAUAAUUAUAUUUUUGUUUUAAGUUCAUUAUUUUUGGUUGGUUGUCUUGGGUUAGCAUUAAAGCCUUCACCUAUUUAUGGAGGUUUAGGUUUAAUUGUUAGUGGGUUUGUUGGUUGUUUAAUGGUUUUAGGGUUUGGUGGAUCGUUUUUAGGUUUAAUAGUUUUUUUAAUUUAUUUAGGGGGGAUGUUGGUUGUGUUUGGAUAUACGACUGCUAUAGCUACUGAGGAAUAUCCAGAGACUUGGGGAUCUAACUGAUUAAUUUUGGGUUUUUUAGUAUUGGGGGUGAUUAUAGAGGUUUUUUUAAUUUGUGUGCUUAAUUAUUAUGAUGAAGUUGGAGUAAUUAAUCUUGAUGGUUUGGGAGAUUGGUUGAUGUAUGAGGUUGAUGAUGUUGGAGUUAUGUUGGAAGGAGGGAUUGGGGUAGCGGCAAUAUAUAGUUGUGCUACUUGAAUGAUGGUAGUAGCUGGGUGAUCUUUGUUUGCGGGUAUUUUUAUUAUUAUCGAGAUUACUCGAGAUUAAUUGAGUAUAAGAUAAUAAUUAAGAUGAUGUUAAUUAGGAAUGAUAUAAAGUACAAUUUAAUUAAGCCUUUUUGGUUGGUUGUUAAAGUGGUUAUGUUUGUGUGAAGAGUUGAGGUGGAUUUUGGGAUGGUUUUUUCUAACCAGAUCAAGUCUAGGAGAGUUAGGGAUGUUUUUAGGCUUAGGUUGAGAGAUUUUAUGGGUGUAAUGCGGUGAAUAAUAGAUGGGAAAAACCCCAGUAAAGUUGAGAAGGAUGAAUAUGGAUUUGCUUUAUUUAUUGAUAGUUUUAUGGUUAGGUUGUUUAGUUCUAGUGCGAUUAGGAAUCCUAAUACUGAAAUAAUUAGGGCUGUGGUUUUUAAAAAUCAUGGUAUUGUGAGGACUGGAAUGCUGGUUGGUGGAAUAUUAUAUGAGAUGACAAAUCCUGCAAAGAUGCUUCCGAAUGCUAGGCGUUUGAUUGGGUUUAUGAGGUCUGGGUCAUUUUCGUUAAUGGAGAUUAGGGGGGGAAAACGCGGUUUUGUUAUUGUUACGAAGUAAAUGAUUCGUAUGCUGUACAUAGCUGUUAUAGAAGUGGCGAUUAGUGUAAUUAGUAGGGCUCAGGCGUUGGUGUUGCAGGUAUUAAUUGCUUCAAUAAUUAGGUCUUUUGAGUAGAACCCUGUUAGGAAUGGUAUUCCUGUGAGGGCGAGGCUUCCGAUUACUAGGCAUGAUGAUGUGAAUGGUAUGAUUUUUGUGAUGUUUCCUAUUUUUCGGAUGUCUUGUUCGUCUGCCAGGCUAUGAAUGAUUGAGCCAGAGCAUAUAAAGAGUAUAGCUUUGAAGAAUGCGUGGGUACAGAUGUGUAGGAAUGCUAGGUGUGGUUGGUUUAUUCCUAGCGUCACUAUUAUCAGGCCUAGUUGGCUUGAUGUAGAGAAGGCAAUGAUUUUUUUGAUGUCGUUUUGGGUGAGAGCACAAAUAGCUGUAAAUAAUGUGGUUAGGGCUCCGAGGCAAAGUAUAGUUGUUAAAAUAAAGUUAUUAUUAGUCGUGAGGGGGUGGAAUCGGACCAGUAGGAAAAUUCCUGCAACUACUAUUGUACUUGAGUGUAGUAGUGCUGAAACUGGUGUAGGGCCUUCUAUUGCUGAUGGUAGUCAUGGGUGGAGGCCAAAUUGUGCUGAUUUUCCUGUAGCUGCGAUUAAUAGGCCUAUAAGUGGAAUUAGAUUGUCGUUGUUGUUGGAGAAUAUAAUCUGUUGAAGUUCUCAUGAGUUUAUGUUUAGGGAAAAUCAAACUAUAGCUAAAAUGAAUCCGAUGUCUCCGAUGCGGUUAUAGAGGAUUGCUUGUAGGGCUGCAGUAUUUGCGUCUGUUCGUCCGUACCAUCAUCCAAUUAGUAGGAAAGAUAUAAUUCCCACCCCUUCUCAGCCAAUGAAAAGUUGAAAUAUGUUGUUGGCUGAGGUGAGGAUAAGCAUGGUAAUCAGGAAUAGUGUAAGAUAUUUAAUGAAUCGAUUGAUGUUUGGGUCUGAGUGUAUAUAUCAUGAAGAGAAUUGUAUAAUUGAUCAUGUGACAAAAAGGGCUACAGAUGUAAACAGGAUAGAGAAAAAGUCAGUUUUGAAGCUUAUUUUAAGUUCUAUUGAAUUUAUGGUGACUCAGUGCCAGGUUGUAAUUAUAUAUUCUAUAUUAUUGUGGAAAAAUAUUAAUAGGGGUAAGAGGCUAAUAAUGAAGGAGAAUUUGAUUGAUGUGGUGGUGUACAGUGGGAAGUUGAUGUGUUUAAUUAGGUUUGAUAUUGAAAUUAGGAUUGGGGAUAGUAGAAGAAUGAAGAUUAAUAAGAUUGAGGUUGUGAAAAUAUUGAUUACUUUUAUUUGGAUUUGCACC